GAUGAACGCUGGCGGCGUGCCUAAUACAUGCAAGUCGAGCGAAUGGAUUGAGAGCUUGCUCUUAUGAAGUUAGCGGCGGACGGGUGAGUAACACGUGGGUAACCUGCCCAUAAGACUGGGAUAACUCCGGGAAACCGGGGCUAAUACCGGAUAACAUUUUGAACCGCAUGGUUCGAAAUUGAAAGGCGGCUUCGGCUGUCACUUAUGGAUGGACCCGCGUCGCAUUAGCUAGUUGGUGAGGUAACGGCUCACCAAGGCAACGAUGCGUAGCCGACCGGAGAGGGUGAUCGGCCACACUGGGACUGAGACACGGCCCAGGCUCCUACGGGAGGCAGCAGUAGGGAAUCUUCCGCGAUGGACGAAAGUCUGACGGAGCAACGCCGCGUGAGUGAUGAAGGCUUUCGGGUCGUAAAACUCUGUUGUUAGGGAAGAACAAGUGCUAGUUGAAUAAGCUGGCACCUUGACGGUACCUAACCAGAAAGCCACGGCUAACUACGUGCCAGCAGCCGCAGUAA
rnacentral:rRNA from 1 species